AUGUGUACGAGAAAACAUGAAGGGGGACUCGGUUUUCGUGACCCCGAGGCUUUUAAUCAAGCUAUGCUUGCUAGGCAGGCGUGGCGACUGUUUCAGGUCCCAACCUCUCUGUGUGCUAGGGUUCUUAAAGCGCGGUAUUACCCUGAUAACUCUAUCCUAAAUGCAACGUGCCCGGGGGGCUGUCCGUACACAUACAGAAGCAUUUUGCAUGGA
rnacentral:rRNA from 1 species